rnacentral:rRNA from 1 species
UACGUAGGGUGCGAGCGUUGUCCGGAAUUACUGGGCGUAAAGAGCUCGUAGGUGGUUUGUCGCGUUGUUCGUGAAAUCUCACGGCUUAACUGUGAGCGUGCGGGCGAUACGGGCAGACUAGAGUACUGCAGGGGAGACUGGAAUUCCUGGUGUAGCGGUGGAAUGCGCAGAUAUCAGGAGGAACACCGGUGGCGAAGGCGGCCUUCUGGACAGCAUCUGACGCUGAGACGCGAAAGCGUGGGGAGCAAACAGG